GUGAAACUGAUCUUCCCGUGAAGAAGCGGGAAUAUACCUAUAAGACGAGAAGACCCCAUGGAGCUUUAAAUCCAACAGCACCUAUUACCCAUAUAUCUUUAUAUUUUUUUAGCAAAUGCUCGUUCGGUUUUAGGUUGGGGUGACCAUGGAGUAAAAAAUAACCUCCACGAAAAAAGGCAUAAAACCCUUAUCAAAGAGCCACAUCUCUAUGAAUUAGUAAACUAAUUUCUGAUGAUCCGAUAUUCGAUCAACGAACCAAGUUACCCUGGGGAUAACAGCGCAAUCCGCCUUAAGAGCCCCUAUCGACAGGCGGGUUUACGACCUCGAUGUUGGAUCAGGGUAUCCCAGUGGUGCAACAGCUACUAAAGGUUCGUUUGUUCAACGAUUAAAACCCU
rnacentral:rRNA from 1 species